GCAAUCCUUCUUAGUUUGGUGUCCCCGGGCUGUAAUGCUGCCUGACCAUUAAAGGUAAGCUGACUUCCCACUGACUUUAAUUAAGAUCCUCAAAUGAUCACUCCUUCUUUGGGGGGGGGGAGGAAAGACUCCCAAAGAAUGGAUAUAAUUGGAUGUGCUAGACCAUUGUACCUAAUUUCAUAUCAUCAAAGUUCAGAGAAGAAUAGUUGAACUUUAAAUAUGCAUAUUUAGCAGCCCUACUGGUAGAAAAGCAUAUUGUUGCAUUUCACUGUAAACCUUGGCACCAGUUCUAUAAACAGAAGUGCUGCCUUUGGCACAAGGCAGAUUUCACCAGCUACUCAGUAGUUACUACUGGGACUCGUAUGAUACAGGUGGGUCAAUCAGCCUCAGGAGAACAGCAGGUGGUUCUCUCUCACCCACGCAUCCAUAAAUGUUGGCACCAUUCAUCAGGAAGAGAGCAAUCUUGGCUGCAAAUUACAUAAAUGUUGUUGCAACGACAGCCAAUAAACCCAAUAAAAUGUCAAUGACCUAGGAGUGAACAACUUAGUGGUUUUAGGGUAUUAAGGCUACCUGCUGCAUCAAAUGAUGACAAAAGGCAUCUUCCCUCAUACGUAUUAUCUGAUAAUAAGGAGAAUGCUGCAUGAACAUUGCUUCAUACAAAGAAGCCCAGAAGCAGCUUAUUGUGGCAAACAUAUCUGGCAUCUCAAGACUCAGUAAAGAACCGGGGUGGGGGUGGGAGAGAGGCUCUGCUGUGUCCCAACGCCCACACUCCUCCUGCAUCUGCUAUGUGGUUAUAUUACUGUCACACAUCAGACAAAACUGAAAUUGGUGGAGCAUAAGGGCGCCUGUCUCUGCUGGAUUAUGGCCAGUGUCUCUUUCGCAGCCAAAAUGUUGUUAUCAUUGACCGUUUCUAAUCAGAGCCAUAACUCACGCUUUAUAAUGAGAGACUUAUUCUUUACAUCUGUUUACUGGUUUAUUGUCCAAGCAGAGGAAAGCCCUGUAUAAAACUUCAAGGAACUCCUCUGUCUUGAGAUGCAAGAUCCAGAUAACUGCAAAAAAUGUGUCAUGUGGAUACCCCUGGUGUGCAAGAUUUUUCUUUUACAAGUUGUUGCCACAGGGAGCCCUGAGCAGAAUCGAGAUCGUCACACUGGGGCGGAGGGAGCUUUGCCCUUGGUUCCCCAUGCUAUUAUAAUCCUGGUCAGAGUUGGUCCCUACAGCUGCUGUUCUUCAUCGGAGCACAGCAGCUCUGGGAGCUUUGGCUGAAGACUAAUGUUGCACUCCAGGGUCAACCACAUUGAAAAUGUCACAUGUUAUUUGGCCCUUAAUGUAGAAGGUCCCAAGCUCACUCUCUGCCAUAUAACAGAGAAACAAAAAAAGCAUUUCAGGUAGCAAGGCUGGGGGAGACCAUCACCUGACAUCCUGCAAAACCAGAGCAGUCAAAAGAACAGACAAUUCUGGGUUACCAGACUAAUAGUCUGAUUUAGAUUCAAAUAAACACAAAAGAGUUCCAUGAUUUCCCCCUCUGUAGUUUGUUUUCAUUUUGGCUAUUAUUUCAGAAGCCAAUAAAAGACAUGGAGCCAGAUUCAACUACAGUGGUACCUUGGUUCUCAAACGCCUUGGUACUCAAACAACUUGGAACCAAACACUGCAAACCCAGAAGUAAGUGUUCCGGUUUGCGAACUUUUUUCGGAAGCCGAACAUGCUCCGGUUUGAGUGCCGCACUUCCGUUUUGAGUGUUACACUGAGGUCUGUCUGUUUUUGCUAUUUAUUUUGCAUUUUUGCUCUCUCUUUUUUUGCGACUGUGUGGAAACCAGCUCAUCUUCUGACUGAUUGACUGUGUGACUGUAGUACAUUGUUUAAUUCUUUCAUUUUAUGGAUCAAUGGUCUCAUUAGAUAGUAAAAUUCAUGUUAAAUUGCUGCUUUAGGGGUUGUUUUUAAAAGUCUGGAACGGAUUAAUCCAUUUUGCAUUACUUUCUAUGGGAAAGUGUGCCUUGGUUUUGGAACUUCCGGAACUGAUUACGUUUGAGAACCAAGGUACCACUGUACCUGGUUCUGUUAGCAGAAGCCAGCACAACAUAGUUUUCCACCCCUCUGCCCAUGCCUCUCCCCAAUCCACUCUGGAAGGUUGGGAGAAUCUCUAGAACAGCACAUGGGGGAAGGAGAGUGAAGGGUCAUUCCUUAGCACUAUGUUGAAUCUUCAGGAGGAGCGAGGAGGAAGUCCCAGUGCGCUAGUGGGAGUCCUUGUGCUGGCUUCCCUUUUCUUUUUGAGGGUGUUGGGGGAGAGGAAAGUUAUUUUGCGCCGGCGGAAGAUGAUUGCAUGAGUGGAACGGCACUGUUGGAUACAACCCUGUGACUCCACUUAUCACAUUAUACAGCUUUGUACAAUAAAUAUGCAUAAGAAAGCUCCCUUUCUUAAGAAUCUUAUCUGAAGAACUAUAUCAGAGGUGACACAAAAUGAAGUUUCAGAACUAAAGGAAGACUUAAGAAGUCAUGGGGGCAGGAUGCAGUACAAUCCUAAGACUAACAUCCCAUUAAGUUCAAUGGGGCUUAUGCACAUAUAAAUGUACUUUGGACUUAACAGUGCAUGAUUUAAAAACAAUAAUAAGAGGGGAUCAUUCAUAAAUAACUAUUCAUAGCACUGCAGCCAAAAAACUUGCAACUUGUAAACUGAGCCCCCUUAUGAAACACGAUUUGAGAAAGGAGGAAAAAUAUCUGGGGUCGCUGAAUAACUUCUAGCUGUGUCAAUGUGCCAGCAGAAAUAAUUAAAGCUAGAAUGCUAAAUAUAGAGAAGAACAAGGCUUGCUGAUCAGGGAUGAGCAUGGUAUCUGCAAAAGGAAGUCUUGCUCUAAGAAUGUUUAGAAAACUUUUAAAAUAUCAAUAAACAUGUGUACAGCCAUGAUGUUUGGGUGCAAGGACUCAAUUUUUUUUGGCAAAGUUCCUUACUUAAAUAUUCCUUGGGAAACUACAGCCAUAGGAUGCAGAUGAGCUUCUUUUUUCUUUUCUCCCUAUGACAGUCUCACAUUUUUAUGGCCCUGGGUUGCAGUGCGAGUGUCGUUUCCCCUACAUUCAAGGGAAUUAAAGACUUCGUUUCACGGAUUCAUAAAGAGAACAGAAACCAGCUGUUACAUCCCCCCAUUUCUUGAUUUGGGGAAACAUUUGGAUAUGCUAGUACUGAAUUCGGUUUUGUAAAUGGAAUAAACCAACAAAAAUGUUUUGAUUC
rnacentral:lncRNA from 1 species